rnacentral:rRNA from 1 species
AGUGAACGCUGGCGGCGUGCUUAACACAUGCAAGUCGAACGAGAACGGGUUAUAGCUUGCUAUAAUCGUCAGCUAAGUGGCGCACGGGUGAGUAAUGUAUAGGUAAUAUGCCUCUUACUAAGGGAUAACAAAUGAAAACGUUUGCUAAUACCUUAUACUCCUUAUUAACAGAAGUUAAUAAGGGAAAGAUUUAUUGGUAAGAGAUUAGCCUGUAUUGUAUCAGUUAGUUGGUGGGGUAAUGGCUUACCAAGACUAUGACACAUAACUGGUUUGAGAGGAUGAUCAGUCACACUGGAACUGAGACACGGUCCAGACUCCUACGGGAGGCAGCAGUGGGGAAUAUUGCACAAUGGACGAAAGUCUGAUGCAGCAACGCCGCGUGGAGGAUGACACAUUUCGGUGCGUAAACUCCUUUUAUAUGAGAAGAUAAUGACGGUAUUAUAUGAAUAAGCACCGGCUAACUCCGUGCCAGCCGCCGCCGUAA